rnacentral:tRNA from 1 species
GCGGAUAUAGCUCAGUGGGUAGAGCAUCGGCUUCCCAAGCCGAGGGUCGCGGGUUCGAGUCCCGUUAUCCGCU